GGACUUAAAGUCCAAUUGCCGAAGACAGUAGGUGCGAAAGCGUAAUUAUUUAUUAAGCCUACCGAGGAGUUAGAUAAAUAAGAUUAUUUACACCUCUCUAUGUCUAGGCAUGGAGAGGUUUUUGUUGAUUAGA
rfam:Eubacterium uniforme strain ATCC 35992 genome assembly, contig: EI43DRAFT_scaffold00004.4